CACAUGCAAGUCGAACGGUGAAGCCCAGCUUGCUGGGUGGAUGAGUGGCGAACGGGUGAGUAACACGUGAGUAACCUGCCCCUGACUUCUGGAUAACCGCUUGAAAGGGUGGCUAAUACGGGAUAUUUUGGCCUGCUCGCAUGGGUGGGUUUGGAAAGGUUCUUUUUCUGGUUGGGGAUGGGCUCGCGGCCUAUCAGCUUGUUGGUGGGGUGAUGGCCUACCAAGGCUUUGACGGGUAGCCGGCCUGAGAGGGUGGACGGCCACACUGGGACUGAGACACGGCCCAGACUCCUACGGGAGGCAGCAGUGGGGAAUAUUGCACAAUGGGCGCAAGCCUGAUGCAGCGACGCCGCGUGAGGGAUGUAGGCCUUCGGGUUGUGAACCUCUUUCGCCAGUGAAGCAGGCCGCUUCCUUUGUGGGGU
rnacentral:rRNA from 1 species